rnacentral:lncRNA from 10 species
CGGCAAGAAAUCAGCUAAUAUUCUAUUUUUAAAUAUGGGCAUUAAUUUCAUUUCAGUUCGUUCACUCAUUCCAUUCAUUUAUCAUUUCACAAACAUUUGAAAUCCUAAUAUAAGCAAGGUGCUCUGUUUAAGGCAGAAAUUUGAAAAUGUACAAGAUAUAUGGUCUUGUCUUUAAGGAGCUGUUCAUCUAGAAUGGAGGAAUUUACACUGAUAAUUAUUCCUACACUUGAAACAAAGAAAUUAACUCUCAAAUUGCGUGGCAAGCAUAUAUAGACUUUGCUAUAAAUAUUUAUGAAAUGAGUUACUGUUUUCCUUAAAAAAGCUAAGACUAAGGGCUGGCAAUCAAAUAAGAGCAAAUUUAGUGGUGAACGUAGAACUGCCCACUACCAGCUAGAGUCUCCAACCUAAAAGUCCCAUGUUGCUAGUGAUCCCCAGGGGUUUUAUAGAAGGAAUCCCUGCAUUGGCAGUAAUUUUGGAUUAGAUGAUCCCUAAGAGCACCAUCAAGUCUUAGGAUUCUAUGAAUUAGGAAAUAAACCAAAUUAUAUAUUUUCUAAUACUGAUCAGCUCAUAUUUUAUCAUCAUGUCAUGUCUGGCUUUCAUACUUAGUCAUAAUUUACUUUCUGGGUCAUUUAGAGGCUAGCGUUCUCUAAGGUCACUUCUGCUUGCACAUUGUAGGAUAUUAUUUAGUAUGGCUUUAAGAAUUCAAUCUUUCCCCCUCUCCUUUAUGGAAUGUGUGUUUCCUCUAUUUGUACACUUAACCUUUUGUCCUAAGUUUUUAUUUUUAUGGAUACUAAUGAGUAACUUUGAGGUUGACACUAGACCCAAACAGAUGCAAACAGCCACUUUCUGUCCUCUUGUGACACAGUUGAAACACUUUAUCUCUUGUCUGCUGUUUGGAGUGUCCUGAAAGAAACACUGAAGUGGCAGUCAACAGAGCAAGGGUAACAGGAUCUUUAAAUAAUUUAAAGUUGUCUGAUCUUGACAUAAAAGUGAACCCUUUCUUUAAAAUUUCUAGCAACUGCUCUUAAGUCAUAGGUUCCUCAUUUUUUCUUUGCUGGUAGUGGGAGAAAAUAGUUGAUCUGUGAUUUUUGUUUUCAUCUCCCCAAACUAUGUUAUAAAGGCAGUAAUUUGAUGCUGAAGAUUAUGAUUAGAAAUCCUCAGAUGGGUUAUAUAUUGGGGCUUUAUCUUUUAAUAUUAAAAAGAAUGUCUUUCCUGGACUACUUUAUUCAGUAGUAAGCACUAUUCAUUCUAUGUAUAUUCCUUAUUCAGCCUUGCAGACUCCUGUGGGAUCUGAUCUCUUCCUGCUUCAACUCAGUACCAUACUCACCAAGGCUUAGUAUGUCUUCACCCACUCUCCCUUCUCUUGCAUUCCUCAAACAUGCUGAGUUUAUUCCAGCCUUAAGCCUUUGAUCUACGCAUCAGAAAUGUUGGGCCCCACUUCAGAUCUUCUCUGCCCUGCCUUCUACUCCAGUCACUGCUGUGGUAACUAAUUCCAUGAAGUCUUUGACCAGGUUCUCAGAGAAUAUGAUAGUACCUCUCUUUGGAUUCUAGCUGUAUACCUUUCACUUCAGCCUCCCUGACGUGGAAUGUCUGCAGAACUUGUUUGGUACUCCCAAUUGCACAGCCCAAAGGUGCAGGGGAGUUAGGUGCCCAUGG